CUACAAACCCGAGCUAUCGUGGCAAGCAAUUGCCAAGGAAAGUCCGGACAGCAUAGGGUAACCCACCGGUGAACAGCCGGCGUCACAGCAAUGGGGCAGAGAAAGUGCCACAGAAAAUAACUACCUCGCAAGAGGAAAAGGUGAAAAUGUACGGUAAGAGCGUACAGAUAUUGCAAGUAAUUGCUUUAUCGGGUAAACCUUGGGUGCUGUAAUGCCACGUAAAGGAGCGCUUGAGAACGACUCGUUCAAGUUCCAGGGUAGGCAGCAAGACUUUAACAGCAAUGUUAAGGCUAGAUAAAUGAUAGUUUAGAAACAGAAUCCGGCUUAUGAGGCUUGUAGUACU
rnacentral:RNase_P_RNA from 1 species